CGGCUCCCCGCGACCCCGCAGGCCCGGCCGCGGCGGGGGUGGGGCCGGCCCGGAGGGCCCGCGCUUCUGGGAGGCACCCGGAGGCACCCCGGUGGACGCGGUGGCGCCCGGCUCCAGGAAUGCCUUUCCUGCUCCAUCCAAGUGCAACGUGGGAUCCGGGCUUGGAUCCUGGAGCAGAGAACGGGACGGCAGCAGAAGAAGUGGUGAAGUCCGAGGACAAGUCUGGAGUUUAAUGCCCGGUGCCAAAGUUCAUCUCGGUGACAGCUACACCACGCCUGUGUAAGUUGUCACAUUAGGGGAAACAGAGUGGGGAGCCUACAGCAAAGCUCAGUCUUUGCCACUUUUCUGUAAAUCUAAAAUUGACUCAUAAUAAAAACUUCGUUUUAGAAAAUGCAAGGAAAACCA